UGCGAGUCAACGUAGCAAUACGUGGCAUACGGCUCAGUAACACGUAGUCAACAUGCCCAGGGGACGUGGAUAACCUCGGGAAACUGAGGAUAAACCACGAUAGGUCAUAAUAUCUGGAAUGAUUUAUGGCUAAAACCUACAUGGCCCCUGGAUUGGACUGCGGCCGAUCAGGCUGUUGGUGAGGUAAUGGCCCACCAAACCUAAAACCGGUACGGGCUCUGAGAGGAGAAGCCCGGAGAUGGGCACUGAGACAAGGGCCCAGGCCCUAUGGGGCGCAGCAGGCGCGAAAACUCUGCAAUAAGCGAAAGCUUGACAGGGUUAUUCUGAGUGAUUUCCGCUAAGGAAAUCUUUUGGCACCUCUAAAAAUGGUGCAGAAUAAGGGGUGGGCAAGCCUGGUGUCAGCCGCCGCGGUAAUACCAGCACCCCGAGUGGUCGGGACGAUUAUUGGGCCUAAAGCAUCCGUAGCCGGUUCUACAAGUCUUCCGUUAAAUCCAUCUGCUUAACAGAUGGGCUGCGGAGGAUACUAUGGAGCUAGGAGGCGGGAGAGGCAAGCGGUACUUAGUGGGUAGGGGUAAAAUCCGUUGAUCCACUGAAGACCACCAGUGGCGAAGGCGGCUUGCCAGAACGCGCUCGACGGUGAGGGAUGAAAGCUGGGGGAGCAAACCGGAUUAGAUACCCGGGUAGUCCCAGCUGUAAACGAUGCAGACUCGGUGAUGAAUAGGCUUCGUGCCUUUUCAGUGCCGCAGGGAAGCCGUUAAGUCUGCCGCCUGGGGAGUACGGUCGCAAGACUGAAACUUAA
rnacentral:rRNA from 1 species